rnacentral:rRNA from 1 species
GUGGGGAAUCUUGCGCAAUGGGCGAAAGCCUGACGCAGCGACGCCGCGUGGGGGAUGAAGCUUUUCGGAGUGUAAACCCCUUUCGACUGGGACGAAUGCCUCGCAAGAGGAGUGACGGUACCAGUAGAAGAAGCCCCGGCUAACUACGUGCCAGCAGCCGCGGUAAGACGUAGGGGGCCAGCGUUGUUCGGAAUUACUGGGUGUAAAGGGUUCGUAGGCGGUGUGGCAAGUCGGGAGUGAAAUCUCUGGGCUUAACCCAGAGACUGCUUCCGAAACUGCUGUGCUGGAGUGUGGGAGAGGCGCGUGGAAUUGCAGGUGUAGCGGUGAAAUGCGUAGAUAUCUGCAGGAACACCCGUGGCGAAAGCGGCGCGCUGGACCACUACUGACGCUGAGGAACGAAAGCUAGGGGAGCAAACAGGAUUAGAAACCCCAGUAGUCC